CCCUUAGAUGUCCGGGGCCGCACGCGCGCUACACUGAAGGAAUCAGCGUGGCUUUCUCCCUGACCCGAAAGGGUUGGGAAACCCGUUGAAUCUCCUUCGUGAUAGGGAUUGGGGCUUGAAAUUGUUCCCCAUGAACGAGGAAUUCCCAGUAAGCGCGAGUCGUAAGCUCGCGUUGAUUACGUCCCUGCCCUUUGUACACACCGCCCGUCGCUACUACCGAUUGAACGGUUUAGUGAGGGCCUCGGAUUGGUCUCGGCCCGCUCUUCACCGGGCGGCGCCGUUGGUCGAGAAGACGCUCGAACUUGAUCGUUUAGAGGAAGUAAAAGUCGUAACA
rnacentral:rRNA from 1 species